rnacentral:rRNA from 1 species
CCUACGGGCGGCAGCAGUGAGGAAUAUUGGUCAAUGGGCGCGAGCCUGAACCAGCCAAGUCGCGUGAGGGAUGAAGGUUCUAUGGAUCGUAAACCUCUUUUAUAAGGGAAUAAAGUGUGGGACGUGUCCUAUUUUGUAUGUACCUUAUGAAUAAGGAUCGGCUAACUACUCGCCAGCAGCCGCGGUAAUACGGAGGGACCGAGCGUUAUCCGGAUGUAGUGGGUUUAAAGGGUGCGUAGGCGGCCUUUUAAGUCAGCGGUGAAAGUCUGUGGCUAAACCAUAGAAUUGCUGUUGAAACUGGGUGGCUUGAUGAUGUUAGAGGGAGGCGGAAGGCGUGGUGUAGCGGUGAAAUGCUGAGAUAUCACGCAGAACCCCGAUUGCGAAGGCAGCCUGCCAGGCCAUGACUGACGCUGAGGUACGAAAGCGUGGGGAUCAAACAGGAUUAGAUACCCGGGUAGUC